GUAAUGUCUGGGAAACUGCCUGAUGGAGGGGGAGUAACUACUGGAAACGGUAGCUAAUACCGCAUAACGUCGCAAGACCAAAGAGGGGGACCUUCGGGCCUCUUGCCAUCGGAUGUGCCCAGAUGGGAUUAGCUAGUAGGUGGGGUAACGGCUCACCUAGGCGACGAUCCCUAGCUGGUCUGAGAGGAUGACCAGCCACACUGGAACUGAGACACGGUCCAGACUCCUACGGGAGGCAGCAUG
rnacentral:rRNA from 1 species